rnacentral:lncRNA from 1 species
UUAGUUUAUUCCCAGGAUUCACUGGGUGGUCCCUGAAAAUAAUAAUAUUCUCUCCUCUCGGGCUCACCGUUUAGAUGAAAACACACUGCACGUGCCGGAGGUCAGCUUCAGCUUUCCCAGCGCCACCUGGCAGGGCAGCCCAGGCCCGAGCAGGGCGCUCCUCCUGCCCCGGGACAUCCGAGGGUCUACGGACAGCGGAGGCCGACGUCACAGCCCACUGCCUCCCAGCCACCCCUGCAAGCGCCAGGGCGGCAGCGCCAAGAGGCCACGAAGACCAAAGUAAAGAUGGCGGCAGGCAGAGCAGGUGGAGAGAAUGUCUUGGGUCCCGGGGUAUCUCUGCCCCGAACCUGGACUUGAGAGACAGGAACUCUGCCAGGGACGCUUCAGGGGCAGCCUGCCCCAUGUAUGCUUCCUGCAGCCCCAUGCAUAGGUCCGGUGGCUGCCUCACCAACCACCUUCAGGAGAGGGCUGUCUAGGGAGCAUCAGAUCCCUUCCCAGAGACCUCAAGCCUUUGGGGGCCAUUCCCACUCAUGGGUGCUCUUCCCUGGAUCACCCCACUCUGCGGUUCCUGAUCUGGAAGCACCUUCUCCCAGAAGGGGAGACUCUAGGGGCUGGAACACUAGGGUCUCAUCCCCAGGUCAGGGACUUCUUACCUGAACAGCUCCUGGCAAGAGGCAGGAGAGAACGUGUCUCCAACACCCACGUACUAGCUGAGGUUCUCCAGAGAAAGAGAACCAGAGGGGAGUGUGUGUGUACAUCUGUGAAUGUGUAAGUGUGUGUGGAUGGGAGUCUACACAAAACAGGGAGGGAAAGAGAGAGACUGAGAUCUACUGGAAGAAAUUGGCUCAUGUGGUUGUGGGAGCCUGCAAGUCUGCAGGGCUGGCUGGAGGCCCAGGGGGGGCUAGUCGAUGCUUCAGCCUGGAGUGUGAAGGGCAUCUGGAGCCGAAUUCCCUCUUCAGAGGUCCCCUCCGGGGACCUCAGUGUUUUUAAUCUGUCUGCUUUCAGCUGAUUGGACAAGGCCCACCCAUAUUAAGAAGGCUCAUCUGCUUUACUCAAAGUCUACUUACCAAUUUAAAAGUUAAUCUCAUCUAAAAAAUACCUCCCUUGUGAUACUGAGAUUGGCAUUUGACCAGACAUCUGGAUCCGUGGGCCAGGCCAGUUUGAUACACAAUUAACCGUCUUGCCCCACAGGCCCUGGCCAGCCUCCAGAGUGACACUGGUCCCUGCAGUCAUGGGCUCCCAGGGAAACACAAGAAUGCGCUCCCACUGCCAUGACCUACCCAUCUCCCACUGUGUUCUCUGGUGCCUCUCAACAUCCCAACAUUGCAGAGAGGAAAACAUUGGUAACUCUUGGGGAACAAGACAGAGUUGUCAGGGUGCAUGAAACCAGACGUGUAAACUGGAAAUCCAAAAGCUGAGGUUCCAUUUGCUUUAGGACAUAAGCAUCAGUCAUUCUUCUCAUCAAGACAGGAGAAA